rnacentral:lncRNA from 1 species
UACUCAGAGGGACCACAGACUUCGCCUAUAAAAGGAUGCGUCGAAUCAUUGGGAAGGAAAAAGAAGAAAUAUACUGUUACCCUGCCGAAAUCCCACUUCAACCAUACCCCGUCUGUCCAAACCCUCCGAUCUACUUCUCACACACAGAACCAUCACCAUCUCCUUUUUCUUCUUCAAUCGACCAUCAACCAUUCACCACCGCUAACGAAACAACCCCUCAUAAACAUUCCGCCGUCAAACCCUCGCCACCAUCACCUUCGAACCAACACACACAGAACCAUCACCAUCUCCUUUUUCUUCUUCAAUCGACCAUCAACCAUUCACCACCGCUAACGAAACAACCCCUCAUAAACAUUCCGCCGUCAAACCCUCGCCACCAUCACCUUCGAACCACGCGACCCUUUUUCUCUCCGAUCUACCACCACGAAACCCUCACCGAAAAUCUCCUUCCAAAACCCACUCCAAAUGACCGGCCACUGAACCGGAUACAUUUGCUAGCUCCCUCCGUUCGUCAACCAUCUCCGUUACACAACCGCACCUCACCUCUC